rnacentral:rRNA from 1 species
UACAGAGGUCCCGAGCGUUGUUCGGAUUCACUGGGCGUAAAGGGUGCGUAGGUGGCUUGAAAAGUUUGAUGUGAAAGCUCAGGGCUUAACCCUGAAAUGGCAUUGAAUACUGUCGGGCUGGAGGUUUGGAGGGGGGACUGGAAUUCUUGGUGUAGCAGUGAAAUGCGUAGAUAUCAAGAGGAACACCAGUGGCGAAGGCGACUUUCUGGCCUGUUCUUGACGCUGAGGCGCGAAAGCUAGGGGAGCAAACAGG